CUGUCGCCCAGGGUGGAGUGCAGUGGCGUGAUCUCAGCUCACUGCAACCCCUGCCUGUGGCGUUCAAGCAAUUUUCUACCUCAGCCUCCUGAGUAGCUAGGAUUACAGGCAACUGCCACCACGCCCAGCUAAUUUUUUGUAUUUUUAGUAGAGAUGGGGUUUCACCGUCUUGGCCAGGAUGGUCUUGAACUUCUGACCUCGUGAUCCACCCACCUCGGCCUCCCAAAGUGCUGGGAUUACAGGCAUGAGCCACUGUGCCCAGCAUUUUGUUUUGAGAUGGAGUCUCGCUCUGUUGCCAAGCUGGAGUCCAGUGGUGCAAUCUUGCAGUGGCUCACUGCAACCUCUGCCUCGCGGGUCCAAGCGAUUCUCCUGCCUCAGCCUCCCAAGUAGCUGGGAUUAUAGGUGCGUGCUACCAUGCCCAGCUAAUUUUUUUGUAUUUUUAGUAGAGACAGGGUUUUACCAUGUUGGCCAAGAUGGUCUUGAUCUCAUGAUCCACCAGCCUCAGCCUCCCAAAGUGCUGGGAUUACAGAUGUGAGCCACCGUGCAGGGCCUUUUUUUUUUUUUGGAUGGAGUUUCACUCUUGUUGCCAAGGCUGGAAUGCAAUGGCGUGAUCUCAGCUCACUGCAACCUCUGCCUCCCAGGUUCAAGUGAUUCUUCUGCCUCAGCCUCCCAAGUAGCUGCGAUUACAGGCUCCAGCCACCAUGCCUGGCUAAUUUUUGUAUUUUUAGUAGAGACAGGGUUUCGUCAUGUUGGCCAGGCUGGUCUGGAACUCCUGACCUCAGGUGAUCCACCUGCCUCAGCCUCCCAAAGUGCUGGGAUUACAGGCAUGAGCCACCAUGCCUGGCUGGCCCCCGCUUUUUAUAGAGAUAUUCUAUAGGUUUGCAAGAUUAACUGUUGUUAUACGUAGCUGAAAUGCAUUCAUUUUUCAUUACAGUAUAGUAUUCCAUCAUGACACCCCAAUUUUUUCAUCCAUUCUACUGCUGAUGGAUGUCUGGGUGACUCUAAGAGUUGGCUACUGUGAGCCAUGUAUUAUACCUGCAUCCUGGUGACCAUAAGCAUGGGUUUCUUUAGGGCACACAUGCCUGGUAUGACUUCUGGGUCACAAGAUGUACAUGUCUUCAACCUUUUUAGGUAACACUAGACUGUUUUCCGCAGUGGCUUUAGCAGUUUACACUCCUACCAGCAGUGUAGGAGCUCUCCAGUUGCUCUACAUCCUCAGUUUUCUUUGUACUGUCUGCAGGUUUAUUUGCUUAUUGAUUUGUUUGGGUUUUUUUUUUUUUUUUUUUGAGACAGUGUCUGAUUCUGUUGCCCAGGCUGGACCAUAGCUCAUUGCAGCCUCAAAAUCCUGGGCUGAAGCAAUCCUCCUACUUCAGCCUCCUGAGUAGCUGGGACUACAGGCGCACAUCACCACAUCUGGCCAAUUAAAAAAAAAUUUUUUUUUUGAGAUGGAGUCUCAUUUACUCUUAUCACCCAGGCUGGAGUGCAGUGGCAUGAUCCUGGCUCGCUGCAACCACCUUCCAGUGCAAGCGAUUCUCCCGUCUCAGCCUCCCAAGUAGCUGGGAUUACAGGCACCCACCAUCAUGCCUGGCUAAUUUUUGUAUUUUAGUAGAGACAGGGUUUCACCAUGUUGGCCAGGCUGGUCUUGAACUCCUGACCUCAGAUGAUCCACCCGCCUCAGCCUCCCAAAGUGCUGGGAUUAUAGGUGUGAGCCACCUUGCCUGGCCUUUUAUUUAUUUUUAAGACGCGGUCUCUCUGUUGCCCAGCCUGGAGUACAGUGGUGCCAUCAUAGCUCACUGCAGCCUCGAACUCCUGGGCUCAAGAAAUUUUUCACACCUCAGCUUCCAAGGUGGCUGGGAUUUCUGGGUAUGUGCCAUCACACCCCGCCUUUUUUUCAGUUUAAAUUUUAUUUUAUUUAUUUAUUUUUUGAGACAGAGUCUCACUUUGUCACCCAGGCUGGAGUGCACUGGCACCAUCUUGGUUCACUGCAACCUCUACCUUCUGGGUUCAAGCAAUCCUCCUGCCUCAGCCUCCCUAGUAGCUGGGAUUACAGGCACACACCACCACGCCCGGCUAAUUUUUGUAUUUUUGGUAGAGAUGGAGUUUCGCCAUGUUGGCCAGGAUGGUCCAGAACUCCUUGCCUCAAGUGAUCCAUCUGCCUCAGCCUCCCAAAGUGUGAGGAUUACAGGCAUGAGCCACUGUGCCCGGCCUUUUUCAAAAAAAUUUUACAAGUGAGGAUAUAUCUUUUUCCUCUAAGAACAGUUCUAAUUGCAGAAUGGCUAGGUCAAAAGAUAGAUGCAUUUAGAAUUUUGGCAGGUUCUGCUGGUUGCCCUUCACAAAGGUUGCACGAUUCAUCCCUUACCAGUAGACAGGGUGUGAGGGUGCUCUUCCCUAUCUUUGCAACACUGGGUAUCACCAAGCUCUUGAGAUGAAAUGUGACUUCCUCUUAUUUUGAUUUCCAUUUCUGUGAC
rnacentral:lncRNA from 10 species